CCUGAGGACCUGCCCCAUGGGCUUCAGAAUCAGAGAGAACUUGCUUUUGAAUCUCAGAAAGGCUCCAAGAAGCAGGGUCAAGGCCAGGGAGACAAUGGUCUCAGUGACUAUGGCCACUUUGGAGUGGAUCCAGUUCUUCAAGGAAGCCGGCAUUCCCCCAGGAUCUGCUGUUAAUUAUGCUGUAAUGUUUGUGGAUAAUUGGAUCCAGAAGAGCAUGCUGCUAGAUCUUAAUAAAGAAAUCAUGAAUGAGCUGGGUGUGACUGUCGUGGGCGAUAUCAUUGCCAUCCUCAAGCAUGCCAAGGUGAUGCACCGCCAAGACAUGUGCAAGCAAAGCAGCCACUGAGUCAGUGCCCUGCAGCCCCAGCCCCCUCUGGGGCGAGCUUCGCUGUGGCGCUUCUAAGUGCAGCUUCUCGAAUGAUCGAAUGAUCGCCAACAGCCUGAACCACGACUCUCCACCCCACACCCCAACACGGCGGCGGUCAGACAACAGCACCUCCAAGAUCUCUGUCACCGUGUCCAACAAGAUGGCAGCGAAGAGUGCCAAGGCUGCCGCCCUGGCCCACAGGGAGGAGGAAAGCCUGGUUGUUCCCACCAAGCGGCGGCGUCACAGCUGAGAUGGAGGGAAAGUACAUCAUCCACAUGCCCAAGGGGACCACUCCCCGCACCCGAAAGAUCCUGGAGCAGCAGCAGGCGGGAAAAGGUCUCCAUAGAACAUCUGUGUUUGAUCGCCUUGGUGCUGAGUCCAAAGCAGACGCGACCACAGGGACUAAGCCCACAGGAGUUUUCAGCCGCUUAGGGGCCACCCCAGAGAUGGAUGAGGAUCUGGCCUGGGAGAGUGACAAUGACAGCAGCAGUAGCUCUGUCCUGCAGUAUGCUGGGGUUCUGAAGAAACUAGGACGAGGCCCAACCAAGGCCAGUCCCCAGCCAGCACUGACUGUCAAAGCCAAGGCCACAAGCUCUGCCACCACCACAAGCCACCACUCCAAAGCUGCGGUGCCUGGCACUUCCCUCCCGCCCUGGGCCUGAGAAAAAGCCAGAUUCCCUGCCCAAAGUCAAAAUUCCUUCAGAGACUGGGCGAGGCUGCUGUUGUGUCCGAGGCACAGGACAGCCAGGUCACCAGCACCAAGAGCUGGACCAUCUGCUGCAUCCUGCCCGACCCUCCUGCACCUCUGGCCCCCCAGCGGGCCCCCUCGUCGAGGGUGGCAGCGAACCUGUAAAGAUUGUUAGCUGCCUUCAUUCCCAGGCUGGAAGGAACCCCCCAGCCUGGUC